rnacentral:rRNA from 1 species
GACGAACGCUGGCGGCGUGCUUAACACAUGCAAGUCGAACGGAAAGGCCCUGCUUUUGUGGGGUGCUCGAGUGGCGAACGGGUGAGUAACACGUGAGUAACCUGCCCUUGACUUUGGGAUAACUUCAGGAAACUGGGGCUAAUACCGGAUAGGAGCUCCUGCUGCAUGGUGGGGGUUGGAAAGUUUCGGCGGUUGGGGAUGGACUCGCGGCUUAUCAGCUUGUUGGUGGGGUAGUGGCUUACCAAGGCUUUGACGGGUAGCCGGCCUGAGAGGGUGACCGGCCCCAUUGGGGCUGAGAUACGGCCCAGACUCCUACGGGAGGCAGCAGUGGGGAAUAUUGCACAAUGGGCGGAAGCCUGAUGCAGCAACGCCGCGUGCGGGAUGACGGCCUUCGGGUUGUAAACCGCUUUCGCCUGUGACGAAGCGUGAGUGACGGUAAUGGGUAAAGAAGCACCGGCUAACUACGUG